rnacentral:rRNA from 1 species
UACGUAGGGUGCGAGCGUUAAUCGGAAUUACUGGGCGUAAAGCGUGCGCAGGCGGUUUUGUAAGACAGGCGUGAAAUCCCCGGGCUCAACCUGGGAAUGGCGCUUGUGACUGCAAAGCUGGAGUGCGGCAGAGGGGGAUGGAAUUCCGCGUGUAGCAGUGAAAUGCGUAGAUAUGCGGAGGAACACCGAUGGCGAAGGCAAUCCCCUGGGCCUGCACUGACGCUCAUGCACGAAAGCGUGGGGAGCAAACAGGAUU